ensembl:lncRNA
CUCCAGCCCAGAAGGGGCCUUGACCAGUGCACAGAUCAGGGGAAAGCACAGAGGGGAAGAUCAGCCACAUGUGGGGCUCCCCUGGUGGUACAGUGGUAAAGAAUCCGCCUGCCAGUGCAAGAGAGCCGGGCUUGAUCCCUGGACUGGGAAGAGGAGGAGGCCAUGGCAACCCACUCCAGUAUUCUGGCCUGGAGAAUCCCACGCACAGAGGAGCCUGGCGGGCUACGGUCCAUGGGUCACAGGGAGUUGGACACAACUGAAGCGAGUUAGCACGCUUGCUUGUGGGCACAGCCACAGCUCCCCCCACCGAGCCUUGAGGAGAAUGCUGUCUGUGGUCGCAACUUCAGUCUGGCGCAUGGUGGAUGGUUCUGGGC